rnacentral:tRNA from 7 species
CGGGGCGUAGCGCAGUCUGGUAGCGCAUCUGGUUUGGGACCAGAGGGUCGCAAGUUCGAAUCUUGCCGCCCCGACCA